rnacentral:piRNA from 1 species
UGAGGAAAUAGUUCAGUUGCCUAUAAUCCC